AUACGGAGGAUGCGAGCGUUAUCCGGAUUUAUUGGGUUUAAAGGGUGCGCAGGCGGCCAUUUAAGUCAGCGGUUAAAUCGUGGGGCUCAACCCCAUUCUGCCGUUGAUACUGGGUGGCUUGAUUGCGGUCGAGGUUGGCGGAAUUCGUUGUGUAGCGGUGAAAUGCAUAGAUAUGACGAAGAACACCGAUUGCGUAGGCAGCUGACCAGACCGCAAAUGACGCUCAUGCACGAAAGUGCGGGGAUCGAACAGGAUUAGAUACCCUGGUAUUCCGCACAGUAAACGAUGAAUACUUGUUUUCGGCGAUAUAAUGUCGGAGGCAAAGCGAAAGCGAUAAGUAUUCCACCUGGGGAGUACGCUGGCAACGGUGAAACUCAAAUGAAUUGACGGGG
rnacentral:rRNA from 1 species